ACCAUGAUGGCGUUCGUCAUCUGUCUUCUACGAGAGGAGUUUCGCCCUCCUGGUAACAGUGCAGCUGAAAAAAACAGAUCUAAGCACGUCAAAAUGGAUAUAAAACAGAAGAUUAUACAAAGAUUCAAUGCACAACUCGGAUCUGACAUAAAAAAUCUUCAAGGAAUCUACGAUUUUCAUGGAAAUCUCAAAGCAGAAAAAGAUGAGAUUGAAAAAUCUUUAUCAAUGGCAUCGACUACUGCUCCUUCCAAGGUAAAAGCAGUAGUUGAAAGCGUGGAACAUAUCAAAGGUGAAGCUGAUCAGUUGCAGGAAAUUUCCACAGACCUCAACAAGAAAAUCAAAGAGGCAUUUAGUGAAAAUGACAAAAAUUUAGAAUUACAGGAAAUUAUUGACAAAAUUGGUCAGUUAGACAAAUCAUUGUCCUAUCUAUACUUCAUAAAAUAUAUUGAAAAUAUCAGCGAUGAGAUGGAGACAUUUCUAUCAUCAGGUGAUGAUGAUUCAAUGAUAACUUUAUAUACAAGCUUGACAGAGAUUAGUUGUCAACUGCAAACAUCUGCAUGUCAUCAUCUGGUUAAUUAUGUUCAUGAAACACUACACUUUUGGCAUAAUCUCAUCAAAGAGAAGUUAUCAAAGGAAUACAAUGAUCUGUUAAAGACAUUAAAAUGGCCUUUUUGUGGCACUAAUGCUAGUUCAAUAAAUCCACCCUUGCCAGAAAUUAUGACAAGAUUUAAGAUACUCACCGAGUAUCUGUUUCAUCUGCAACUACCAGAAGAAAUGAUAAAACCUGUAGUAAAAUCUGCACUGUUAACAGAUUUUGCACCAGUUAGCUUGCCAGUCGCUUUUCUAAUACGCCCACUUAGACAGAGAUUCAUUUACCAUUUUACAGGAUCAAAGUUGACAAAUCGUCAGGAUAAGCCAGAAUGGUUCUUCACUCAAAUAUUAAGGUGGAUUAAGGAUCAUGCACAAUGGGUGCACAAAAACAUUCAGCCUGUGGCGGAUGCUGUUGGAUUCGGACAUUUAGAUAUAAAGGCCGAAUUUAUGCGCGCUCUAGUUCAGUUAGCUGUGGAAAAGCUUCAUUCCGAAUUACCCAUAGUGCAAUACGACGAUACUUUAUUCGCACAUUUAGUAGACGAAGCUUUAGGAUUUGAACGAGAAUUACGAGAGACUUUGUUGUAUCCUCAAACACAACCUACCACUGUCUUUGUUCUGACACAAGCGCACAUUUUUGUAAAAUGGAUCAAUAUAGAGAAGAAAUAUGCAACCGAGAAAAUGGAUGCAAUAUUAAGUUCGAACACAGCGUGGGAAAGGUUGGCAGGUCCUGAUACAGAUGAUAUGAAAGUCACAGAAUGUGCAGACGCUUUCCUCACGCUUCUCACCACAAUUUCCGAUAGAUACAAACAUUUACCACAACCUGGGCAUAGAUUGCAGUUUCUUGAACUGCAAUUGGAAUUGAUUGACGACUGGAGAGUGCGAUUGUUACAACUGUUACAUGAAAAUUACGAAGAUCCAUUAACGUCGCUCAUGCCGCACAUUCUCAACACGUUACAUUAUGUCGCAACCGUUUUAGAGGAAUGGGGUAUAACAGUCCAUUUCUUGCAAUUAUAUUUCUUCAAGAAACAAUUUGAAGCUGUAGAGAAUGCUACCGACAGAGGCAAUGAUGUUAGUGAAAGUAUUGGAGAAGUGGAAGGCACUGUGUUUGACGAAGCUGUAGCUCUUCUACAACGACUAGAGAAAGAAUUAAUAAAUGAAAUCAGCGAUUCAGUAGCUCUAGAUGUAAAAGCAAAAAGUAGAGCUUAUAGAACUGAUAAAUGGUUUGCAAUGCAGUCGUCCAAAGAGAUUGCUUCAUUAUCAGUAACUCCAAGUGGCUGUCCCAUGUUUCAAGAGUUGACUACACGUCUUCAUAUAUUGCACAAUGCUCUCGCUCUACCAUUGUUCCGUCAAGCUUGGAAGAGUUUAGCUGCUCAAUUUGAUCAAUUUCUCUUUGAGGAAGUUGUACUGGUGAAUCAUUUCAACAGUGGCGGUGCUGAACAAUUACAAUAUGACAUUUUAAGAAACUUAUUUCCAUUAUUUGGCUUGUAUAUCAGCAAGCCAGAGUCAUUCUUUCCGCUAAUCAAAGAAGCAUGUAUACUUUUAAAUAUCUUAGUGGGUUCGGCUAUGUUGCUUCAGGAAGCACUAAGUAAUUAUAACGAUAAAGCUGCAGAAAUUUUAGCGGACGUCGGUGUACACAAAAUGUCCCCUGAGCUUGCUUUGAAAGUGGUAGCAACGAGAACGGAUAUUAUCUAUGUAUAAAAAGUUGUAAAUAUAUAUAAAAAUGGGAUUUUUAUUGUGCAUUAGUACCAUUCAUGUACGCAUUGUGUACAAUGCAAUUCUUAACAGAGUAAUGUUAUACCACCGUUGUCGGCGCCUAAUAACAAUAAUCGAUUAAGAGGAAGGACAGCCAUGGCAGUAAGAACGCCUUUGAAAGCGUCAGAUUUCAAUUUCGACGAAGAGAACGAUGCUGUCAUUUCUACGGCGGUAUAAACACCAAUUCGAUUUGCUGUUGUUCCUAUUACUAAUUCCUGCUCAUAAGUCGCCAUGCAAUGAACGGGUUCCGUAGCGCCUCUGAGGAAUGAUAAAAAUUUGUUAAAUCUCUACCUCGCAUUCGUGUCCUUUCCAAGACGCGAUGAUCAAACCAGUGCGAGUAUCGAGUAUCGUUAAGAAGCCCGAUGCUUGACCAAGAGCAACCCAGUAACCACUAGGCGCUACCGCGAUACAUCUUAUCAAGCCAGUUGGAUUCAUAGAAACCUAUCAGAAGAGUCGUAGACGGUGAAGGACUCGAGGCUAAAGUGUUCACAGGAACGGGUCGACUGCUUUCCGGACAUCCGAGAAGCGAACCCAUAAAAGGAUCCCAACAAUGAAUCACACCAUCACAAGUCACUGCGUAUCUUAAAGACUCCAGGAAUGUGAGCGAAAGGAUAGAUUUCUUGUGUCCAGUGUACGUAUAUUGACACGAUGAGACUGUAUUCCCAUCACCCUGAUUGUACAAUAUCAAUAAUUUAACUCUCGAUAUUAGCAUAAAAUGCUACUUAUUCAAAUAGCGAUUAUAGUUUGACUAACAAUAAAUUUCUACCUGGCUUCGUAAACUCCAUAACUUCACGGUUUUGUCUCUGCCGCCGCUCAUAAAACUAUUUUCAUUAUCUAAUACAUUGAGACACCUUAUACUGUUCGUAUGUCCACUGAAAAUCUGAAGCUUUAUUUGCUUUAUAUUGAAUAUUGUAUCUUUAUCCGGCCUUCCUAUUUCAUGUUCCCAAUAAGCCAGCCAAUUACCGCGUAAUUGUCUGCCAGCGGAUGAUAAGCAAGUUUCGCGAUUUGCAGUGGCACUCGCCUCCGUCGUAGACUGGGAUUUAGCAUCAUCUUUUUGUAUCUCAAAUCGAUUUCCUAUCACAGAUAUAUUUCCGAAACUACAAACACCCUUAUCAACUAGCUCCACGUUCUCUAUCACAUCGCAAUCCGUAGCAAGCAACGUAUUAUACUUGUCCGCAUUAUCUUCAACAAUAAAGCAAAAGAUUAACAUAUCGUCUCAUCGUAUCUCUGAUAUCAUUGAAUAAAAUUUAAUGCAACAUA